CACUGCUAUCGGGGUUCGAUUAAGCCAUGCGAGUCGAGAGGGUUCAGACCCUCGGCGCACUGCUCAGUAACACGUGGAUAACCUACCCUGAGGAGGGGGAUAACCCCGGGAAACUGGGGAUAAUACCUCAUAGGUUUCAGAUGCUGGAAUGCUCUGAAACCGAAAUGCUCCGGCGCCUCAGGAUGGAUCUGCGGCCGAUUAGGUUGUUGUUGGGGUAACGGCCCAACAAGCCCGUCAUCGGUACGGGUUGUGAGAGCAAGAGCCCGGAGAUGGAUUCUGAGACACCAAUCCAGGCCCUACGGGGCGCAGCAGGCGCGAAACCUUUACAAUGCGAGCAAUCGUGAUAAGGGAACCCCGAGUGCCUGAAACCAGGCUGUUCAGGUGUUUAAAAAGCACCUGGAGAAAGGGCCGGGCAAGACCGGUGCCAGCCGCCGCGGUAAUACCGGCGGCUCGAGUGGUGGCCGCUAUUAUUGGGCUUAAAGCGUUCGUAGCUGGGUUGUUAAGUCUCUUGGGAAAUCUCACGGCUCAACCGUGAGGCGACUAAGAGAUACUGGCAAUCUUGGGACCGGGAGAGGUGAGAGGUACUCC
rnacentral:rRNA from 1 species